UUUAAAUCUUAACCUAUAUGGCUAUAUAUGUCGUGGACAAUAAAAGUCAAGUGAUUGGGUUACAGCAUGGAGGAGAGAGAUGGAUCCUAUACAUGGGAGUUCAAACACACACAACCGGCUUCCGAUCUGUCCACAAAAGGGAUAUAAAUACUUGUUGACCCUACGAAGCUUGUAGGAUGCUUCUUGCAGCGUAGACAUGAGCCUUCCACUUUGUGCAAAUAGAGUUUUGUCAUGAGCUGAUGCGAAUGGGUACGCCAAUGCACAUCACUUUCCGAGUUAAGUAGAACAAGGGUCAUUAUUCUUUGCUGUCACAAUCUCACUCUUGAUGCUCGGAUCUUGUUUGCACUUUGCACCCUUUGUAAAGUAUUUUUAUUAGUGUCGGCAUAAACUUCCAAGGGGUCAAAUCUCAAUCCAUUAUGUAAUCAUCCUUUUCAAGUCCUUUCGCACCAAGUCUUGCUCCUUUAACCUGUGAAAUUUACAAGGAAAAUUCUGUUUUCAAAACCAUCCAAAGAAGUGUUAAUAAAAUUCACCUCUUUUGCGCAAAUACCAAAAAAAAAAAAAUCCAAAUGAUGGAAGAAGAAGCCUCCAGGUCUGAAGGAAAGCAUCUUUUUUUUUGUUCGGUUUGAAUAAAGGAUCAAAUAUUACAUUAAAAAGAAAACAUAAUAAAUACAUAAAGCUAGUUAACUACAAAGAAAGUAAAUGGGAUACACAAUAUAGACACCCCUGUAAUUUUCUUGUCGCCUAUAGUUCACUCGCGAGAAAGAGGAGAGUACGUGUCGGAUGUCUUCGGCCACCAUUUUUAACUCCCUGCUGCAUCGCUCAAAUCGGAAGAAUUGCUUCGGCAUGAACAUGAUGUUGAGACUGGACUGAACUAUUUGUAGAUCCUCCUCUGCUAAUCUUAACCAGUAAAGCAUGGAUCGCAAGCAUUCAUUUGCAAAAGAAGAGUAGGGUCCUUUCCUUCAUGUCUGGAUCUGGAUCUAGAUUUCGCUUUUGUAUGAAAUUCAGAUCUUGUUCUGGAGUAGAGAUUUGCAACGAUGAGUUACAUUUUUGCUUGUUUUCCCAGGUGCAAAUUCCUCUCAGAAAUAGAAUUUCAGGUCUAACUUCUCUUAUCGCCUGAGAAAUGCCAGCUUUACUUCAUGUGAUUAACAAUGCAAAGUUAAGUUUGAUAUAAAAUUAAAAGCAAGGGUCCUAUAAUCACGGGGAUGUAGUUCAAAUGGUAGAGCGCUCGCUUAGCAUGCGAGAGAUACGGUGAUCGACAUCCGACGACCCCAAAUUUUCAUUGGUUUUCAUCUUCCGAGACAAUCAACGGUUACGUGGCAUGCCAUGUCAUCAUGAGUCCAGCUGUCCAGGCCGUUCCUAAGUCAACGGCCACAUCACAUGCCACGUCAGCACUAAGUCCCAGUCAUCAUCUCAGUCACCCGCCAUGUACAGUGACUAUCAACCCUAGUCCAUCAUCAUGAUCCCGUUCAUCCACCAUGUGGGAGGUCGUCAUCUCAUGUCAACUCUUAGUCGUCAUCCCAGUCACCACUCACCAGCCACGUAAAAACUUUAUUGAUAUUAUGGCCAUUUUAAAAAAUUAAAUUAUUAUUUAAAUAAUUUAAAAAAAAUUUAUUGUUAUUUUUCAUGUUAUAAUAACUGGUCAAAAAAAUAUAUAUAUGAAAUUUAUAAAAAAUAUAUAUAUGUUUUUCAACUUGUGCCUCGUCUUUUUUGAGUCGUGCACCUAUGCCUAGCAAACUUCAUCGACAAGAGCAACACGAGAAUUUCCUUCUUCUGAAGCUCUUCCUAUUCACCUUCUACGAAUGUUAUUUUUGGUCUGUGCGAGUGCUAAGCGAUGGACGUAUCCCAGCCGGUUAAGUUUCGCAAAUCUGGUCCUUGAUGGAUCAUGCUUGAUGUAUUUCAUCCGUUUGAGAAAUGCCCCCAGUGUUCUAAUUUGAACCCAAUAAUCUCCAGUCUGAUGCUUAUUCCGUCGGGCACUCCUCUUAAAAAACUUAACUUGAUGGCAUUGCUUGAUUUAUUAAUCUACAGUAUUGCAGGCCCAUACAGGCGUCCACUUCAUUUUCUUAAAUCACUUGAUAUUUAAUAUGUUCUGAUCUCAUAGUGCUAUUUUGAUCUAGUUCUUUCAUUCUUCACAUAAAUACUUCAUUAAACUCAGUUAAUAAUCUUUGAUCAUGUAGCUUUUGGCUCUUGAACCGUAGAUCUUUUACUGUAAAGGAUAAACUAACCUAUCAUUCUAAAAUACAUCACUAUCAAAUACUUAUUUCGUUAAAAAAUAUAAGGCAUUUUUAACAGAAUCUGAUCCCCCAAUAAAAUAAUUACUUAUUUUUAAACUAACUCUAUUUUUUCAUAUUUACUCAUAUUUAAUAAAGUGUUUCACCUUAAAAAAUAUAAAGUAAUCUAUUUAACAUGGGUACUUUUGAAAAAAAAAAGAUAAUGAUUACAACUUAAAAGAUUCAAAAUAUUUUACAUUUUUUAAACAUCUAACCCCUCAAAAUAUGCCCUAUAUUUUUUAAUGUAGGGAGUAUAUGUUAGUUGGUUUGUGCACGGAAGCUUACCAAGUUUAUGGUGCUUGUUCCAUUCAUAGUUUGGUUCUGUUCACUAUUAGCUUGAAGUUUUCAUUUUUUAAAAAAAAAAAUAUUUUACCUUGAAGUUUCAAAUUAUCCUUAAACUCUUACUUUGACCGUUGGUCAAAAAAAUAACUUAGUUUGAUCAUCAUCUCUAAUCAAUCACCCAUAUUGGGCGGGAUGUUAUUGAGAAAGUUGCAUGAUAGGCAUGAACUUCUUUGCUAUCUUUGUUGACUGCGUAAUAUUUAAUAUUAAUUAGUUGUUAUUGGAAUAAAGCAAACAAGAUGAUGCUUUCCUUUGUUUGGUGGAACUGAGUGGCACGUUGAUGUCCAACUCAGAGACAGUUGAACCUUGAAAGGUUGAAUAUAGUUGUCAAAAUGUAAUUUGCUGGUUUAAAUGGAGUGUGCCCUUCCCUCUAAAGCUGAAAAAGAUAUUAUAAGAAGAAAAUAUAAAUGCACUAUGGGGCGUGAUGUUCUUUAUUUAAAAAAAAAUUGAGAAUUUCAAUAUGUUUAUUUACAGUCAACAAACAAUAUGUUUUUCCUUUUGACUAAUCCACAAACCAUUUGUUUACUACAUCACAAUUAACUAGGAAAUGGGUGCCAUUUCAAUCAUCUAUAUUUGACUUCUAAUGACCACCUUCUCGACUUAGGAUCCUGCUUUAUCCAUUGCAUUUUUUCUUCAAUAUGAAAAUUUUCGCUUUGAUUUCCAUUGUAGCGUGUAAGUUUUUAUCCCAUUGUAGCCUACCUAAACUUAGAUUGCCACUAGAAUAACCAUGUCUCUUCUAGUUGAUUUUGAAGCAGGAACUCAUGUUUUCCAACUAGUACACUACUUGCUUUGUUGUUUUCCAAAUAAUUGUAUCUAUGUCUCUGUUAAUUAUGGCAUAGAAAGAGAACAACUCAUUUUCAUCACCAAUUUGCAGAUCUAGCACUGAAAAAGGCAUAUUUUGAGUCCGUCUCGCACACCAUUGAGGAAAAUGUAAACUCAGCAUAUUUUCUGUGUCAUCUUUCAACUCAAUAGAAAUCUAUUAUAAGGUUAAAGAGAGUAUAGAUCAUGAUUAUCUCAAAAAAUUCAACGAACAGGUAAUCUGGAUGUCUUGAUUGGAACUAUCAAUUUUUCAGACAUGUAACUACAUUUACUGGUAGCUGUAAUGGCCUGUCUUGUAAUUAACUGCUCGUACAAGCCACUAAUUGAAUGUGUGCAUGCAAAACUUCCAAUUUUACUGUGUCUAAAUAGUUCUUUGCGUCGUUCUUGUGUUGACCACUAGCACCUAGUUGAUCAGAAGCACUUAGUAAACAGCUGUGAUAUUUUCAAAACUAAAGCAAGUGUUUCAUACACCUUUGUGGUCUGUUUAUUCCCAUCAUUCACUGAUGUUAGGUUGACAGUUACCAGUUUGUUAAAUAUCAAGCUGUAUCCGAGUUGCCAUUAGACUAUAUAAUUAACAAGUCAAGUAGCUGUGUCACUCUCUUAAAUUUACGCCGGCCCUGCACUUUUUGAAGCUCCAUCCUUCCCUUGAGGAGGAUCACAGCCCUGUGUCCUCUUUGGUAUUCGUAUCUCUAAGAAUAUGUCAUUAUAUACUUGAGCCUCUAUAUUCCUCCAUUCUGCAUCCUCUGGCAUCUCAAGCCUUCGUACAUAUCCAUAUUCCCACCAAUGGCCGCACCUCCAAUCACUUGCUUUUGUCUGCUGCUUCCACUGCCCACUAAUUUCGACAAUCUUCCCAUUAUCAACAUGGACUUGAAUGUUAUUUCUCCCCGUUCCUGUUUUGACAACAAGUCACUGGUGUCAUGUUUGUUUGGACUAGUUAAGCAUUUUUUACUUGAACUGAAUGAAACUUGGCCUCAUUCACGACUCUUGGAGAUUGAGUCACAUGAUUGAUUACUAGUUUAGGUUGCGUUUGCUUCAAUUUCGUAGGACUCUUAAGAAUAACGUCUCCUAUAGUAAUCACCAUUCCAAUGCAAGCAUACCUUUUAUCAAUUUAUUUCAACAUAAUCAUAUUUGGUCGACCAUAAUCAUGGGAAUGAUCUCUUCCAUGGUUCUCCCACUAGAUCACAAUAUAGGCCAUCUUUUAGAAGCCUUAUUUGAUCCAAAACAUAGAGCAUUGGGUAAUUUUUAUCAUUGAUUUUCUAACCAUAUCCCUACUUCAUUUAUUGCUCCUUUUAAAAAAAAGGAUACAUUGAAAUUUUUAUUAUCAUUAUCAAUGAGGGUAAAAUUGAAAAGAUGUAAAUUUUUUAAAAAAAUUAAGGUUUCAACUAACAUUUUUUUUAGAAUCAUGAAUUAGCUAUCAAAGCCCUAUAUUUUGGUCUAAAGGGAAUAAUCGUCAUUCUUUAAACAUUGGAAAUCUAGAUUGAUGACCUUAUUCAUGUCAAUCCUUGUUCUCACCUCUUUACCAUUCCAUUGCUCUCCUCUCACAAAAACCUAUAUAUGGUCAGUAUGAUUUUAGUCCAUUUUAUUCUCUAUCAAUCCAUUCCAUUUCUUUCAAAAAACCAAAUGGCCCUUUACGUCUCAACCUUUACUAACCUGUUUCAAUAUUUUCCCUGGACCUAGUAAAGAAAAGUGUGGUGCAAGGGUGAAGGCUUCCCUUGCUCUAUACAAAAUACUACCUGCUAGCUGAGGCAUGGGGCCUCCAAUUCCCAGGUUCUUUGCAGGUCAUGAAAAAUGGUGAGGCAGUCUCCUUGUUUCAAUUUUUUUUUUUUUUUGAAGAUAGACUAUGUUUAGAAAUAAGAACUUAGUCAUGGUGAUAUAUGAAGGGCAACUCAUCAUACCUGGUAAUUCUCCCUUUAAUAUGUAACCUUGAUCAGUGCGAUCCCAGUCCACUGUGCUUUGUCCUGAGCUACGUAGGUUAGAUAACAAGAUAUCUGACUCAAACUCCCAGAGAGGGAAGGCAUCGGAAGGAUCGAAGAACUUGCCAAACAACAUGGGACUGAAAAGUGACCCAUCACCAAAAAUUUUAUGUACUGUUGGAUUAGCCUGGCUGAAGAACCUCUUGAAUACCUCUUCUCCCAACGAAAUGCUCCAUUUAUGUGGAGCUUGAUUGUCUGUUUGAAUCUCAAGCCUCCUAGAACUAGUCAUUACUACGAAGUAACUGAAAAAAUUCAGGGAUAAUGGCGGAGAGAGUUUUGUGGUCUCUCUUCUUAUAGUGGGAAACAGGCCAUCUGAUAAAGCAGAGCAUAAAUUCCUUUGGCAUAUUUGUGGCGGUGUAAAGCUAAGGGGAAUAUUUUUGUUUUCUAGACUUUACUCAUCAGUAAAGGAAAACUGUGUCAGGAAUAUUACACGAUGACUAAAUUCUAUGUGUGGUAGCCCAUUGCAAGUAGUUGUGAGUCACAAGAUGUGGUAGCCCAUUGCAAUUUAGAAUUAGAAAUCAAGCCAACUUCUACUUUUGGGAGUGCGGAUAUGCAUUACAAUAAAUGGUCCUGGAGACCCUCAAAAGCAUCAGUUUUCUACUUUUCUUGUUCUUGUCCCAGCCAUGAAAUUUUCAGCUUAUUUAUUGAAAUAUUGUGAUUAGUCAGGCAUGAAGAAUCAAUGGAGACUCGGGCUGCUGUGGUCUGGUUUUUUAUGACAAAUUAAGGUCAUCUUACUUACGGAACAGCAGUUUUUUAACACUUUCAUAUUUUUCUUUCCGCGGAGAAUAAACUGUGGUCAUCAUAAAUUUGCCUGCUGUCGUAGAUGUUGAACAUAGAGGAUCUUGGUUCCCGGUGAUUAAGUCCCAGAACCAUUGAUCGUUAAGCUGACAGCACUCAUGAUAUCAACUUCAGUCCCUUGCCAUUUUCCAAGCCCUUGAACUUUCGAAGAGAGUUCAUUUGUUGGUAAGUAAAAAAAUUUAUUCUAAAACAUACCCCUUUGAACUUGAAAGUAUGUGCGAACAAAUUCUUGUCAUUUGCGAGAAUGUUAUUUUACUGACAGAAGCAUAUGACAUGUUAAAUGUUAUUAGAGUUAUUUGUACAAAAAAUUUAGAGGUCCAUUCAUUCAUACAUCCAACCUUCUACUAAUAAUUAACAAAUUUACUAAUACCGGGGGUUUUAUUGUAAAAACAUGAAGGUGCUUUUAAGUAUCUAUAUAAUAUAAAGUUUAGAGAUAUUCUGGGCAUCUUCACCAUAAAUUGAUCUGGCUGCCUUUAAUCUUAUAAACGGCCAUCGGGGUGGACGGAAGUCCGUUAGUUAAUUUACAGAAUCUGGGUGAUUUGUCCCUGCACAAAGCAAAGGAGUAUGAAAGGAAUCUUAAAUGGCUUUGGCAGGGAAUGGAUGUGGGUGAGUGUUAUGAUGAACUGUGGUGCUGCACAUUCUCAUUCUCAACCCACAUAAAACAUAUCAUAUACAUGAUAUAUCUUUUAAGGCCAAGGGGACUGAAGCUUUUUGACUAGUUGGUGCUAGCCAUGAAGCAAUGAGGCACAUUGAUUAAUCAUUCAGAAUGGCAUUUGGGAGGGUGGCUUUUUGGGGAAAGAAGGCACCUGCUUAUCUCCUAGUCGAGAUUUUUGCUUUGCCCCAUGGAAUUUUAAAGUCACUUUCAACGGUGGGUGGGGCCUUCCCCUGCAAAGCGGUGCCACUGCCAACAAUGGCUGCUUUUUGUUUUAUCUUCAGCUUUCAAGAUCACCUAAUUUGUAAUUAUCAGCCCAAUAAUGUUGUUUGAUUCCUUCUUGUUUAUUGUGGAUCCGUAUCUCUUCAAUGUUGAAUCAUGCUACACUAAUACAACAGGGCAAUUGAUGAGAA